AAGUCGUAACAAGGUUUCCGUAGGUGAACCUGCGGAAGGAUCAUUAAUGAGUAAGGGUCUUCGGGCCCGACCUCCAACCCUUUGUAGUUGAAAACCCUUGUUGCUUUGGCGGGACCGUCCCGGAACUCCCAUCUCUUCUGAUGGGGGGAGGGCCGCCGGUCUCGGCGUCAGCUCCGCACGAGUCAACCAAACAUCUUGUUUUAACCAUAUCGUCCGAGUAAAUUGAUAAAUCAAUUAAAA
rnacentral:misc_RNA from 1 species